AUGCAGGUGGGAGUAGAGAGGCAGGAAGGAGAUGGAUCGGGGAGCUACCAGGCGGCAACCUUGGGGGUUGAAACUUCGGCGGCGGCGGCGGAGGGCUUGCAGGAGGGCGAUCUGAAGGUUGAUGAUGAGGAGGACUGGGUUCACCGCGGAUCUGGGCCAACCCUGGAAGAUGCUUUUGAUGGUAUGAAUUUGCAUGGAGAAGAGGAAGAAGACCUAGAUUUAUCAGGUGAGGUUGAGGAUCUGAUCAGGGAGGUUCGGUGGCUCGCACUUUUUAGGGUUCAUACCAUGAGGCCCUUUAGCCAUGCGGCUCUCUUGAAUUCUAUGAGGAACGCAUGGGCUUGUGCGCAAGGCGUAACUUUCAACAUUAAGGGGCCAAACCCAUUUUUGGCUCAGGUUCAUUGUCUGGGUGACUGGAAGCGUGUGAUGGACGGUGGGCCGUGGCAAUCCAGAAGAGAUCCAGUGAUCCUGGUGGAGUAUGAUGGAUUUACAAACGUGGACGAGUAUGCCCUAGACAUGUAUCCAUUAUGG
rnacentral:rRNA from 1 species